rnacentral:lncRNA from 1 species
GCUGGUAAGCGCUUCCCGAAUAGAUUCCUUUCUCUUCCCCGGACACCGAACAAAGGGAACCCUGGCUUCACUUGUCGUAGUAAGACCCCCCCUCUAUAAGCUUUCCCUAUCGCUCUGAUGAACCUCUUUCCGCCUGUUCUCUAGAGUUCAAGAACAGAUUCUUGCCUAUCCCUUAUUUGUCCAUUAAGUCCGUUUUCCGCUAAAGGCAGCAUUAAAAGCACCUAUAUUGUAAUACGUAAGAGGAAGGACGACUAAGCAACUAUGCUACUAUUGGC